CACACGUAACUUCUCCGAGCCAGCAUGCCCAUCACUCUCGCUUGCAGUGGUCAUAAAGUCACCUGGCCAAUAAGGUUUGCCAGGACCAGAGAGGUUUUCCACUGGGGACACAGAGAAAAGAAGCAUAGGUUUGAAUAGCUUCUCUGGUGCCUACCUGGAUGUCAUUGAAAUGUCAGCCUCUUCCUGCCGAUCGAGGUGGGAUUACAACAGUCAAAGAUCCGUUCUUUGCUGUGAGAAACCAACCUGUCCUCUCCCUGCUGUUGCCUGGGCUGAAGAGAAUUCUACCUGCCUGAGGUGUAGUGAUGUGCUGUUUUGCUCCACAUCACAAAACUUCCAAAACAUAAAACCAAAACCCAAAGUACUGGGAUAUCCACUUCUGGUUCUCAGAAAUGACUCUAUUUUAAUGUUAAGCAGUAUACAGAGGCCUCUUUCUUUUCUUUUUCUUUUUUGGUUUUACCAUAAUAAGAGAUUUUGAGCAUGUUGAGCAUCACAAAUGUCCUUGGGGGAGCCACAUGUGGCCCAGGGUGCACUUAGCUCACUCCAGCUCUAGUGUUUGGGGGCAGUUUUACCAAGUUUUUGGCUUUGUGCUGUUUUAGGCCCAGAGAAGCUUGUUUUAAACCAAGAAGAAGCAUUUAAAAACAACAACAGAAGAAUACUAAAUGUCACUUCUGGUUUUGGGGGUGGGAAAAGCCACCCCAGUCUAAAACAGUCCGGGGGAGGGGGGGACAAAACAUGACAAAAUUUCUCCUAGAAGGCAUAAAGGAAAUUUUGGGUAAGAUAAAAAUAAAAUAAAAAGCUGGGGAGCUCAAAGUCACCUAAGCAGGAGGUUGCUUCUGCCUUAAGCCUAUGAAAUUAGAUCUGAAAAGGUGUAGGUAAUGCCUUAUGAAAUCAGCGGCAUGGGUUGUAUAGGAUUUCUACUAUUCAAAUAUGAGGUUUCAGUGUCUUCCAUAAUUUCUUACCCUUACCAUAAAAUAGGAAGAGCAGGAUAAAUUAGGCAAAAUAUGCACCUGCAUGUACAUUUACUUGAUUGUAAUAAUAUAUAGCAGCUUGCUAAAUCCAGCUUUUCUAGGUACAGAAUGUGCAAUAUGCCUUCAGGCAGACGCUGAUUCUGUAAGGUAAUGUUUGGUUGGUUUUUACUGUUAAGAACAAUGUUCAGAGUUCACAAAACCUCCCUGUCAUAUCCAUCAGUAUCCCAGAUAAUCCUUUCCUUGUAAGAAUGUUGGGUUGCUCUUCUUCCAAUACUCACUGCUGUCAAGGUAGAUUUGGUAGUGAGUGUGGGGUCUGUGCCAUGCUUCUUGCCACAACUGGAUUUGAGAGCUUUCCUAACUUCUUUGCAUAGGAUGACACAGAGGAGGAAGAUUAAAGGACCCUGUUAAAGAAACAGAGGAGAUCAUUAGCCUUGAAUGAUGACCUCAAACUGUAUCCAAGACACCAUCAACAGCAUGAAGGGAAGUUUAUAGUCUAAUUUAAAGAUUCUUUUUUCCACCUCCCAUCCCAUGUGGUGCUGCUGUUUUCUUAUAAACCAUUUGCUCCCAUUCCCAAGCAAAUAAAGUUUUUCUUUAAAAAUAAACACGCAAGCAUGCAUUAUCUAAAAACAGCAGUAGUUCUGCAUAAUUUUUUCAGGCUGCAUCAGGCAGAUGUGACUAAAUCAGUUCAGAGGUAACCAAUUUCUACAGUUAGAAUAAUUGCUUUUUUUAUAAACAUUUUGGGAUUGUGAUACUUGAAGGAAUGCCUCACCCUGUACUUACCUGCCUGAGCAAUGAGAUCUGCCCCCCCCCCAAACGCACACACAAAGCAAUACAUUAUGCAGGAGAGGGCCUCCUCUGCUGUGGCACCACAGGUAUGAAGUGCCCUUCUCUUAGAGGCCCAAUUGCUGCCAAUGUUGCUUAUUUCAAGGUCAAAUUAAAGUCAAAUUCACCUAACUUUUUUGGGCCCAGUAACUAUGACUUAGCCCUAGCUUGCUCAAUUGCAACAUCUAUCCCCUGUAUGUUUAAUUCUGUUUUAAGUAAGUAUUAUUUUUUGAAAUCAUUUGAAUUGUUUAUAAUUGGUGUAAAGUUGUUGUUAUUGACUUUACUCUAUGCUGAUAUCUCUGGAAAAGGAACCUUAGAUUUUACCUGUGAGAUGUUCAUUUCCAAUAGAUAAGGAUCGAACAUCCUGGAAUUUGGGUUGCUCCUCCCAUAUCACUCCUAGUAGACAGAACAAAGAUCAAAGAAGAUCAUCCCUCCUCCCUGUAGACAUAUGAGGGAGCAACCCCUGUGCUAUUCAGUCACUUGGACAACUCACCAGGAUAAAUAUCCAGAAGAAGAAGAAAAAAUCAAACAGAAUAACCAACUACACCAAAAAUGACAAAACAGUGAGAGAAAAAAGGGAUGAACCUGGGUAGGGCACCACCAUGGAGUGUAGAAGCCUGGGUCUCUGGUGUCUGGACCAACCUGUGAACCCCAGAAUCCAGAUAAGUCUUGGUCUGUCCUGCAAGCACUUACAGGUGGGUAAACUGUUCAAUUCUUUUCUACAAGAAAUGAACAUCACAGGUAACAUUUAACAGUCCUUUUCCCUGUAGAUAAGGAUGGAACAUCCUGGAAUAUGGGACUUGCCAAAGUUACACUAACAAGGGAGUGUGUGCUGGUGGGAAAAGCACUCUUUACGAUAGGAAUACCUGCUGUAGGACUCUCCUUCCAAAUGCAGCCACUGUUGAUUCAAAAGCAUCCAACCUGUAAAGCCUGGCACAAAUUGGAGGAGACUUAGAGGUGGCUGCCCUGCAAAUCUUCAUCAACAAAGUACUGGUCACUCAUGCUGCUGUGGCUGCUACUCUCCCGGUGGAAUGGACUACAAUACCAACAGGGAUUGGGGCAUUCAUAACCUCGUAACAUGCUACAAUGCAGGACUUUAUUCAUCUGUUCAGAUUGAACGAGGAGACCUUCAUUCCCAUGAAGUUUGGUUGGAAGGAGAUAAACAAUGCCUCAGAGGACUGGAAGCCUUUGGUUCUCUUUAGGUAAAUCCUGAUGGCUUUCUGCACAUCGAGAGUGUGCCUAAUCCUUUCAAGUUCAUUGUUCAGGCAGGGACAAAAAGAAAGGAGACUUGUGGAAUGUCGAGCUGACCUUGGAGAUGAAGGUUGGGUCCAGGUAUAGUACUAUCAAGACCAUCCUGAUCAUGCAAAGGUCCUUCUGGACCAAUAAUGUCCCCAACUCCGAGACUCUGCGAGCCAAGGUGAUGGUUGUGAGCAGUAACACCUGGCAGGUGAGAUGUUUCAGGAAUGCCUCCCACAGAGACUCAAAGGGGCCUACCGUCAAUGCUUUGGGUAGUGUGUGUAGGUCCCAAGAAGAGAAAUGGUGAACCAUUGGCAGGGAUAGGUUGGUUAGCCUUUUCAUGAAGACUUGGACAUCUGGGUGGGAUGUCACAUUUGCUGCCUACUUGUGGGGCUGUAUGGAGGGAAUAGCCAUGACCUAUCUUUUAAUGCUGUUUGGCCUGAGGCCAUGAUUGAUCCCAUCCUGCAGGAAUUCCAGCAGCUUUGCAACUGAGAAAUGUCUGCAGUUCAGUUGUUUCCAUUUGCACCAAUGGCAAAAAAAUCUGAAGAUGCAUUCAUAUAUCCUGACUAUGGAGGGCCUCCUGGCUCCCCAUAUGGUGUUUGUAAUCUUGAUGGAGUAUCCUUUGGCACUGAGAAGAAAAGAGAAUAUUUCAAAAGAGCUACACAAUUAGUAUGUCCUCUAAGAAUAGUAGGCAGGAAAAAAAACUGAAUGGCAAGUGGGUUGCUCCUUCACAUGUCUAUUAGGGAAGGACCCUCUUUGAUCUUUGUUCUGCCUACUUGGAGUGAUAGAGGAGGAGCAAGAUGAGUUCCAGGAUGUCUCACCCUUAUCUACUGGGAAAUAGGAGAGAAAUGUUUUAAUAAUCAAUUAGUUCUGCCUUCAUCGAUUAGGCAUUUACUUGAUGGAAAAUAUGCAAUUAUUGUGAAGAAAAGAUGGCUCUUCAGGAGUGGAGUCCAAUUUCUGAUAUUAUCUGAAAAACAAUGUGUUCAGCAAUCCAUAGUCCUUUUUAUGAUCAAAAACUUGUCUUUGUGGGAAAGGAAAGGAAAACUGAAAAAUGAAUGCAGAUUGCAAUCCUGUGCAUAUGUACCUGGGAAUAAGUCCUGUUGAAUCUAAUGGGACUUACUUCCAAAUGGACAUAAACAUGUUUGCACUGUUAUAGAAAGGUAUUUGGCAAUGCUAUCAACUGACAGUUUUGUGCCUUUGCGUGUAAAAGAGAAGAGGAAAGGAAUCUCACUGUACACUGGACAACAUGACUAAUAUCUGAAGACUUCCCAUCAGCUCUGUUUCCCAUGCUUAGCAUCUCCCUUGUGCCCACUGUACCUGGAGACAGUUGAAGCCAGCAAAGAGGUAGUGGAAGAGGAUGGCAUCACUGUUGACGGACAGUAGGGCCAGCAACCAGGUGAUACUGAUCAGCAGCAGGGAGACAAAGCCUGAGCGGAGGCCAGAACUACAAUUGAGAAGAGCACAGUCAGUGAAUUCUUACCCACAUAGCACCUCCAAAGCCGUUUUUCUUAAACUAGGCCUGGGUUCCAUAUCUUGGCCUAAGCCAGGCUCUGGUCCCACAGCAUUUCUUCCAUUUGGUUCCCAGGUGUGAAAAUCUGUGGGGCAGCCCUGGUUUUGUCUUUUUACUCAGGUUUUGGCUUUGGCAAAGAGAUCUCACCAUGCCCACAAGAAUGGUUGUAAAACAUCAAGCACUGGGAUGAAUCAGCAUUGUGUGUGCCAGUGAACUGCAGAUCAUGAAAGGAAAAGUGAGCAGAUCUAGCACCAUAAAAGAAGGAAUGUCAGCUAAAGGCUUGGACUUAUAACUCUGGGGAGGAUGUGCAAACAGCUUCAGUUGGUGGCCUCCUGUCUGCAGAAUUCUGUUUCAACGUACAUCCACCAAGUUCAAGCAAGACCUAAAGACAUUUUCAUCUUGCUUUAUAAUGAUAUAGCUAAUUCAUUAGGUGUUCUUGUGUAGAUGGUUAUGAUUGCCAAACUUUAUAUUUUAUCCUUGUUAGUAUGUUACCAAUGUUUUCCCUUUUCAUUUUGUACAUCAAUAUGAAAGGAUGUUCCCUAAAAGGCAGCCUAUCAAUCUUUGAAAUAAAUGAAUAAAUAACAUUUACAACAGGAGGAAACUGGGUGAUGAACACAAUGAUGGGGAUAGUCAGGGAGUGGGAAAGUGCAUAGGAGCAGGAGAAAUAGUAGACCAAGAUCUGGAACCAAGUGGCAGGAUAGUUCAGGUAGCAGAGAUGAGCUGUUGGGUGCACACAGUGAGCCAUAAAUAGAGUAGAACAUGAGCAAUACCAGACUCA